AUUUAUUGCUACCCCGUAAGUGUUUUAUUUGAUGCGCCUAUGUAUCUUUAUAACUCCCUAACGCUUCGACGUGUCGGCGCAGGCCGAACGACCUACGGGACGGUAGAGAGAAGCGAAACUCGUAAUAGUAAAAUCAGUUGGUUAAAGAACAUCCGCUCUGAUACGUGAGCUGUUGCUAUUUGUAGACGAACUCUGGGAAAAUAAUGGACUGAAAUUAAAUAUAUUACAUACCACCAGUAAACUAAACAUCAGGAAACUCAACAGACAAUCUCCAAAGUAACAAAAAAAAAACAAGAAUUCAAGAAAUUAUAACAUAAAUUAUACCACGUGGUCACGUAUCAGAGAUCCCAGGGUUCGUUUUACAUUCUACAUCAUAUUUCCAUUCCACCCAUAGUAUGGAUACUUAACUGGAUUUUUUUUAUGGUUAAAUAUACCUUAUAUAACUAAUUUGGAUACUUAAUUGGAUUUUUUUUAUGGAUAAAUAAAUGGAUAAACAUACUUUAUAUAACUAAUAGUAGGACAUCAUAAACCAUUACCGACCCGUUUCACCAAAUACAUCCACAGAACCUCUCAACUUCAGACCGCUCCACACAGAUGUUAUAGUGCCCAGAGAUUUCCCAAAUCUAGUGGACCUUCCUAUGAAUAUACCCAGGAGUUGCAAAAGAUAAGAGUUUUUUUUUCUUUAUUUCAAUUCAUACCUAUAAAUAUUUUGGUUUUUACUCUACAGUAAUAAAUUUGUGUAAACUGUUUAUAUGCAUAUAACAGGUACCUAUACUACACUAUAUACAUAGGUUUUUGAAGUAGGAUUUUAAAUAAAGCUAGGUAAUGGUAAAUAAUAAAUAAAUAUUCAAAUAAAAUAAAUUAAUUGAUAAGGGAAAGGGGAAUUAAGACAUAUAUAAAGAUUGUCGAUAGGUUUUAAAUAAUAUUUCUGGAUAAGUCUUUAACCAAACUCAUUUUGUUAGUUUUAUAUAGCUUCCAGCAUCUAUGUUUACUUAGGUAUAGUACUUAGACAUAGAUCUGGUAUUUCGAUUGUUUCGGACACUUAAUAGUUCGAUUGGUGAGUACGUCACCCUUUAAGUCUCUGCUAGAUAAGGUAUUAAACUUUUUUUGUGUAACCAUUAGUUGUUCUAGUAUUAACUAUACCUUAUCUAGUCUAGGAUCAAUUAAUAUUAGUAUACUAACCAUAGUAUAGGAUUUUGCUACGCUUACGGACACUGACCUGGUUUUCGUUAUUGAUAUUUUUAUAUUGCGCAAUAGCGGUGGUAAUUUACUUGGCGUAACCCUUUGGGUUCUGGAUUGUUAUUUUUCUCAACUCCACCACUAUUGUUUAUCUCACAUGUUUUAUAAGUAUCAUGGAUACAUUGUAAGUUGUGAAAUAUUAUAAAUAUAUUUGUUCUUAGUAA
rnacentral:lncRNA from 1 species